GGGCCAUCUGGUUCUCAUCAAAACGAAUGUAAAAGUGGCUGGGUGACACCAUCUUCUCCACCAGCACUGGCACCAGUUCCCUCGAACUCCUGCGGGUCGGAGGUUUCAGCCUUUGGCACCGCACCGCGUCCAAAGGAACCACAGAGCCAUGAGUCGCCAGCGUCCGAGGGAAAAGGUCCACCAUCUGAAAAUGGAAACACAUCUGACUAAGCAUAUCUGUUCAUCAAAUCAGGCACUACAGCGUACUUCUGACUACCUUUGAAUGCACCUGUUGGAUGGUCUUGUUGGUGAUUCUGAUCUCAGACUCGGGCUCUGAAGACCGAUCAGACUCUCCUCCAUAAUUCUGAGGCUCCCAGGCUGACUGAGUAUAGCUGAAGUAGUGUCCAUCACUGGAAAGGUUUAAGAGCUCUGCUGAAGGACACUGCUCCUGGCUGACCGUUCCUGCAUCCCCGCUUUCAAGAAUCCUUUGCCUUAAUUCCUUCUCAAGCUGCCGCACGUAACCAUGAAAAUAAAGCCAUUUAUACAACUUUAUAGGAUAAAACUUUUUUUUUAAUACCGUGAGUUCAGUGAGUGCAUUCCGAAUGUUGUCAAUA